UCAUUUCUCAAGUGAUGACUAAUCUGGAAUAGAUUAAUAUCGAAACUAGUUAGUUAUUUCAACACAGUUACAUUUCAGAACCUAACCAACACACGGAGACAACUUCCUGCCACGAGCGUUUCGCAAGAUGAGAACCGAGACAAGGUAGUCACAGUUUGGAUGGUGGAUUUCUUAUCCAAGACUAUUCAGGACAUUCACAAGGACAGUGGGAAUACAGGUGCCACGAUUACAAUAUGGCUGGCAGCAGACAGAGAAGAGAAGCCUUGCGUAUCGCUGGGAAACACAGCCUCCUGCCUCCCCGUCUGACAGGCCUAUGUUGUCAUGGCAACAUGCUGUGGCGCAGCACUUAUUGGGAUUCAGAUUCAGACGGAUGGCGGGGCUGGUGGGCGACUGCAUUAGCCGUCCGGGGAUUUGGUUUGGUCCUUCCUCGCAGCGAGCCCUGCCUGUCUGAGAGCCACAGCACCGCAGAACUCCCAGGCUCCAACACCACCGCAAUGGAGGCUCGCCACCCUUUGUUUCCACUCUGGAUAUGUGUCAGUGUGUGUGUGUGAGUCUGCAGCAGAAAUGCAGCAGCCCGAUGGACUUUUCUCUCUUCUGCUUAUGGCAGGCGAUGUGCUUCAGCCUUGAUGCUGAUUUCCCCUGGUUUGUGCCGCUUUCCUUGUAUUUUCAUCUGGAAAUUGCCCGCAUAUCUGCGGUUUCAGUUGAUUCUUUUCAAUAAGGGCUGAUAUGACCAAUUUUCUCUCAUCUUGAUGUGCUUUACUCUGUUCACACAUUGAGCGGAAAUUUUGAAUUUGUCAUGAACGGUUCUCUUUGCCACACCCUAGUACACUGUGCCUUAGAAUAUCAUGCGAUAUGCAUUUUCAAAACCUUAAAUUUAAAUUCCCUAAUUUCUGUGAUCCACAAGGCGAGAACAAAACUGUCUUGAAUACAAGCUGUCUAGUCAAACAGAGCGAAAAUGGCAUAGCAGAACCCAGUCAAGCCACCCCAUGCAAUAUGUGUAUUUCCGUUAAAGAUAGAUUGUAGAUUGGUUGGAAACGUGCAGAACAUACCUUUGCGAAUCAGAUAAAAUGACACAGAAGGCGAACAGCUGACACAGAAGGCGAACAGCCAAAAACAUUACGCAGUGUCCUUCCACUAUAGUUCAUAUUCUCUACCGUUCAGGAAAAAAAACUUUUGUGAAAGGAAGGCGAAAGUAAGCACUUUUUUUUCUAGACUCGUCGCUGCUCAGUGGUGCCGUUGGAGGCAGAGCUUUCGCUGUUGUCUUUCUUUCCUCCUCUCCCUCUCUCAUUCCCUCCCUCUCUCGUUCUACGCUGCUCACUCUGCUUCAACGUCCUUCGUCUCUCCCUAGGUCCUGGUCGAGUACUCCCGCACUCUCCUCUUCCACCCAGUCCUGUCCUGGCUUGCCCCAGCUCUCAGACCAUUGACCACAGGAUUCCCACAUUGAAGUUUAAAAAUAACUAGACUGGACUAUGGGUCUGUCUGCUGCCUCUGUGCUGCCCGGGCAACUGAAGCCCAGCGGCAUCUACUUUGCAGUCGCCAAGCAGGAAACGGCAACUUUAUUAAUCAUGGCUGAGGACGGUAAGAGAGAGCGGCUCAGUGCUACAUCACACAGCACUACGCCGUGCUGCACAGAUCACAGAGAAAACACCUAGGUAGCACGCCUGCUACCGUUGUUACGACGAUACAACGUCAACCAUACCACAAAGUGCACCCACAAUCACAUUUCUGCUCAACUUCUACACCGACACCAUUCAUACUGUAUCUCACAGUCCAAAAGGGAAGCUGGCUCUGUAGCUCACUUUCAAACAGUCACAUCACGCUCUCCAUCUGUCUCAUACCUAUGCACACAUGCACUUUCUCUUUGUGUGUGCUACUGUGUACACUCAACCCUCUCUCGCUCUUUGUCAGCACAUCUGUGUGCAUUGGCUCAUGAACAUGAUAGGCCUACAAAGCUUGUUUGUAUAUAGCAGCAUAAUCAAUGAGAUAUCUGUGACUAUAUAUGGUUUAUUUCUCUCAUCUACUUCUGCACUUUCAAAGUAAGAGAAAGUGAGAGAAAAAAAGGAUGUAGAAGAGAGCAGGGGGAGAGGAGGACCGUCAUAUUUGUGGAGGCUGCUGAUGGAUGGGAACACAGAGGGAUGCCUCAGCACUGCAGAGUGCAGGAGGGAGGGGCUAAACCAGGCAGGCAGGGCAAUGCUAGCCCCACCAGCUGCUGUAGAUGCACACAGUUGCUUUAUGCGUAUGAAGGCGGAGGGGUUUUAUUACAAGUGUUUUUGAAUUUUCAAACGUGUCUUUGCUUUCUUUCCGGGGUCAGGGAUGAGGCUUCUGCACCCGGGUGUGAAAUCCAUGCACAUUUUACAUUUACUUGGUCUCACAGAACAGAUUUGCCUCAUGAAAUGCAUGGAAGACAUUUGUUGUGCACUUUCUACCAGUGUUCGUUCAGCUUAUCAUGAAAAUCCCUGUGCCUCUGUCCCCUCCUGCUUUCUGUGCUUUCUCUCUCCUCUGCUCAUUACUAGUCACAUGGCCUUGUGUUGUGAUCGAGACGCACACAAUUAACCACAAGCUCAGCCGUCUGCCAGCUAUUUCUGGUGCAGACCUACCCGGCUUGAUUGUUGACAUUACCUGAGUGCGAUCAAGGCCCCUGUCUGCAUUGGCCUGGGUAGGCAGUACACCAGCCUGGAGCACGCCAGCCCUCACAUUUCUGUAAGCCGUUGCACUUUGGCAUGACCUUGUUGCUGUGGCAACCUUUGAAAACAGUGCUACCUUAACAGCAUGGUGGUAUGAAACAGUAAAGGUUGCGAACCUUACACGUUCUGGGAGGGAGCCUCUUAAAGCCAAAGGAAAUAUGAUUUGACAUGUUUGAGUGGCCACUAUCAUGCCUUUAUCUCAGUUUUUCCUUUGGUGUCUUUCCGUUCUCUUCAGUGUUAAGACAUUCCUGCUAUGUAUGGUUAAUGGUCUUGCCUGCUUCCUCCCCACUUUUCCUGUAUUUGUAGUCUUGCCUGCACAAUCGAUUUCCACUGGUGCACUGCAGGGGAACUCAACAUCCCAAAACAAAUAAUAAGUCUAGUCCUCCUUUACCAUCCAUGCUGGGUUUAAAAAAAAUAAAAAAUAAAAAAAAAAUAAGUUUUGAGAAUUGCAAAUGAAGUGCCUGCAGUACCUACUGUUUGUCUCAAUUACCACAACCCGUCUCCCACAGUAUUUGUUAGUACUUCGAAUGUCUUGCAAACAAAGAAUACAUAAAGAGUGGUUGAAAUUUGAACAAAUCAUUUGGACAAAUUUAUAUUGCUAUGAACACAUGAUUAUUUGUGGAUAUUGGAGAAAUUAAAAUGAUCCAACCUGCUGAU